AGCUUUGCGCAGUGGCAGUACCGUAGCCAAUGAGGUUUAUCCGAGGCACGAUUAUCGCUAAUUGAAACUACAACAAAUACUAUAAUGAAGAUGCUGUUAUUCUCGUUUUACAGAUGAGGAAACUGAGCCCUGAAGGGAUUCAA
rnacentral:snRNA from 1 species